UUCCUGUGAGCUCAUUUCCUCUUUCUCUUUCUUAGCUGUUUGAAUUGUUCUGGGAUUUUUUUUAACCACUUGUUGGUGUGUACUGCAUUGUGUCUGCCUAUCUAUCUGCAGCUCUGUCAAAAUAACUUCUGCAUGUUGGAAACUGCAAAGAUUCCCCAGUCUUUAAGCUGUUAUAAUGCCCUUCCAUCAGUCACAUGGUUGAUAUCCUACACUUCCUUAUGUCACAAAGGCUUGUAAUACACUGUACUCAUUGAGGUCAUCCCACCUGGAUCUGCUCUGAAUACAGAGGGUCCUUGUUGGUAACCUUGGCUAAGCUGAGCUAACAGCACACAAAGACCAGAGUCCAGAGCCAGUUCCUCCUGAACGGAGUGGCCCACUUGUGUGUCUCCUUGUGUGGCACAGUGCCACGUUUUCUCUGAUGAUGCUCCUGCGAAGCUUCUUGGGACGUUUUGCUACAUUGAAGGCGCGAUAUAAAUUGGAAGUUGUUAAGAACAUAGACGCAGGAGUACCCCUUUGAAGAUACUCCACCACUCAGAGGAAACCAGAGCACCUGGAGGGAACCCACACAGAGACGG